UUUUCAUUGCGUUUUUUUUUCAUUGCGUUUUAAUUUCAUUAGCCUGAAUGUUUGACGCUGCUGGUCCUCUCACUCCCAUGAGAAUGAAGAUCAAAAGAAAAAUGAACUUCGGCAGAGUUUUUUAUCUGUACUUCUCAGUUAUGAUCGGUGCGUUUGGUGCAGAGACAGAUACCAUUGAGACAGUGUCAGUGAACGUGGGAGAGUCAGUCACCCUACACACUGAUAUUAGAGCAAUUCAAAGAAAUGAUCACAUAACGUGGUUGUAUGGAUCUGACAGUCCAGGCACUCGUAUUGCUGAAAUCAUUAAGUGGUCUUAUAUGUUUUCGAUAUAUGUGUGUCACAAAGAGCAAUUCGGAGACCAGCUCCGACUCGACCAUCAAACUGGAUCUCUGACCAUUGAGAACAUCAGUGCAGAACACUCUGGACUUUAUAAAUCAGUCAUCAUCAACAACCAAAAGAAAUCAUAUAAGAUGUUCAAUGUUAAAG